rnacentral:rRNA from 1 species
GAUGAACGCUGGCGGCGUGCCUAACACAUGCAAGUCGAACGGACAUUUUUCGGAAAGCUCUUCGGAACUGGAAUCUAAAUGUUAGUGGCGGACGGGUGAGUAACGCGUGAGCAAUCUGCCUUUCAGAGGGGGAUAACAGCCGGAAACGGCUGCUAAUACCGCAUAAUGCAUUGGAUUCGCAUGUUUCUGAUGCCAAAGAUUUUAUCGCUGAAAGAUGAGCUCGCGUCUGAUUAGCUAGUUGGCGGGGUAACGGCCCACCAAGGCGACGAUCAGUAGCCGGACUGAGAGGUUGAACGGCCACAUUGGGACUGAGACACGGCCCAGACUCCUACGGGAGGCAGCAGUGGGGAAUAUUGCGCAAUGGGGGCAACCCUGACGCAGCAACGCCGCGUGAUUGAUGAAGGUCUUCGGAUUGUAAAAAUCUUUAAUCAGGGACGAAGAAAAUGACGGUACCUGAAGAAUAGGCUCCGGCUAACUACGUGCCAGCAGCCGCGGUAAUACGUAGGGAGCAAGCGUUAUCCGGAUUUACUGGGUGUAAAGGGCGUGUAGGCGGGCUUGCAAGUUGGAAGUGAAAUCUCGGGGCUUAACCCCGAAACUGCUUUCAAAACUGCGAGUCUUGAGUGAUGGAGAGGCAGGCGGAAUUCCCAGUGUAGCGGUGAAAUGCGUAGAUAUUGGGAGGAACACCAGUGGCGAAGGCGGCCUGCUGGACAUUAACUGACGCUGAGGCGCGAAAGCGUGGGGAGCAAACAGG